UUUUUUUUAUUUUUUCGAGAAAAAGUGGUUGACGACAAGAGACCUGAACCGAUCUUUUGUCCUCGAUUCUUUCCGGUUUAUUUUACUUACGAAGAAAGGCGAGAGUAGGAGGAAGUUUUCAAAGGCGUUAUAAAGUCGCGUUUUGUCACAUUGUCAGCAGUUUAAAACAGAAAAAUCUUAGUCGAAAUUUACGGAACACAGUAGCGCCUCGAAUCAGAAGGGAAACAUGAAUACGAAGACAGCUACCACGAUACUUCUUAUCAGCUUUUUUAUAGCUUGCUUCAUAGUCGAGGACAGCCAGCAGGUAAUAUCAGUGUUAAAAAGUCAAUACAAAGCCGUCAAGCCAAGAAAACCCAGCAAACCGAGAGUAACAAACGUGAAAAAGCCGAGUACUAAAAGACCAACUAUAGUGAAUGGAUUACAUUUUAAAAGCAAAAAACCAGACCGCUAUUCAGAGGGCCCGAUUCACGACACAAGAUCCUUCAGUAGAUUCUACGAUUACUAACAUGAAAGGAAAUGAAAAUGGAUCAUUUUCGACCCCAGCAAUCUUAAAUACGAUCACCGCAGGAAAGGAAAAGAAAUGCGUAAACUGAACAGCGUGCCAGAACGAGGAAAUAAUAUACAAUUCAAAUAGAAUAUAAAAACAAAUUUCGCAAAUGUCAAUGAUCCUGUUGAUUUUCCUAAGUAAAUGUGUCAUCAAAUGAUUAAAACGACAUUGUACAUUUUCACACAGAAGCAAUUUUUUUUCUCUUGAAAAGGUUUGUUAUCAAGUUUAUGUAAAGCUAAAUGCAUCCAAAACGAAGGAGAAUGUCAAACUAAAGUGCAAGCAUUAUGAGGAGAAUUCACCACUUUGUCACUCCAUUUCCUACCCACGCAUUUACCUUUCAUGUCAUAGGUCUCAUUUUUGUAAAAAUAAUUAAACGCCGUGCUUCUG